rnacentral:rRNA from 1 species
CUCUUAGAUGUCCGGGGCUGCACGCGCGCUACACUGAAGGAAUCAGCGUGCUAAAACCAUUGUCGAAAGGCAUUGGUAAACCCAUUAAAAUCCUACGUGAUUGGGAUCGGGAAUUGCAAUUAUUUCCCUUGAACGAGGAAUUCCCAGUAAGUGUGGGUCAUAAGCUCGCGUUGAUUACGUCCCUGCCCUUUGUACACACCGCCCGUCGCUGCCCGGGACUGAGCCGUUUCGAGAAAAGCGGGGACUGCUGCUGUCGGGGCUUUCGGGCCUUGGCUUCGGUGGAAACCGCUUUAAUCGCAGUGGCUUGAACCGGGCAAAANUCGUANCA